UAGGGAAUCUUCCGCAAUGGGCGAAAGCCUGACGGAGCAACGCCGCGUGAGUGAUGAAGGUCUUCGGAUCGUAAAACUCUGUUAUUAGGGAAGAACAAAUGUGUAAGUAACUAUGCACGUCUUGACGGUACCUAAUCAGAAAGGCACGGCUAACUACGUGCCAGCAGCCGCGGUAAUACGUAGGUGGCAAGCGUUAUCCGGAAUUAUUGGGCGUAAAGCGCGCGUAGGCGGUUUUUUAAGUCUGAUGUGAAAGCCCACGGCUCAACCGUGGAGGGUCAUUGGAAACUGGAAAACUUGAGUGCAGAAGAGGAAAGUGGAAUUCCAUGUGUAGCGGUGAAAUGCGCAGAGAUAUGGAGGAACACCAGUGGCGAAGGCGACGUUCUGGUCUGUAACUGACGCUGAUGUGCGAAAGCGUGGGGAUCAAACAGG
rnacentral:rRNA from 1 species